AUGUCCUUGGAGCCUUCCAGUUGUGAACAAAAGACCUGUGUGGCCAGGGGACUGUGGGUGUUGCCACUAGGGAUGGGAAGCUUGGUCCCUUUAAGGCUCUUCUCCCUGCAACCAAGCCCCAGGCCUCUGCGGGGGAGGACAUGCAUUAUUGAAAGCGCAUUUCAAUACCUAUUCACUCUCCUCCUCCUCCUGUGGGUGGCAAUCACAGUUUACAUAAUCUGUCUCUCUGUCCUCCCAGGCAGCUGCUCCCUUCUGGCUGAGUGGUUUGAGGAGGGGGAGGGGAGACAGAGGGAAGUUGAGAUGAGACACAGAGACAGAGAGAGACACACAGAGAAAGGGAGAAUGAGUCAGUGAGGAAGUGAAAGA
rnacentral:lncRNA from 1 species